rnacentral:ncRNA from 2 species
AAUUAAAUAUGCAUUCGAGUCUAUAGGCCUAAAGGAAGUCCCAUGGCUGCGGACCGAUGAGUGUAGGGGGAAACGCCUGCGCUUUCCGUAUUUGAGAAGAAUGCAAUUGAGCUGUUUG